GGAUUGUGGCUCAGUGGUAGAGCACUCACUUUGCACACAUGAGGCACUGGGUUCAAUCCUCAGCACCA
rnacentral:tRNA from 1 species